AUUUAGGCAAUCAAAUUACUCAAUUGGCUACGUCGGUUGGUAAAUUGGAGGUUGAAAAUUCUAGAAAACUACCUUGACAACUAUAGGUAAAUUCAAAGGAGAAUGUUAGUGCAAUUGCACUAAGAAGUGGAAAGGAGAUUCUUUCAGGGUCGAUUCCACUUAAGGAAAGUGGACUGAGCAAGGAAAAGGAAGAAGAAGCU
rnacentral:lncRNA from 1 species